rnacentral:rRNA from 1 species
CGAUGAAGGACGUGCUAUUCUGCGAUAAGCGUCAGUGAAGUUAUCUGAUUCCUUAUAAACGGCUAUUGCCAAAUGGAGAAACCCAGUGAGUUUCGACACACUAUCAUUAACUGAAUCCAUAAGUCAAUGAGGAGAACCGGGGGAACUGAAACAUCUAAAUACCCCGACGAAAAGAAACCAACCGAGAUUCCCCCAGUAGCGGCCAGCGAACGGGGAGGAGCCCAGAGCCUGAAUCAGUGUGUGUGUUAGUUGAAGCGUCUGGAAAGGCGCGCGAUACAGGGUGACAGC